UACGUAGGGUGCAAGCGUUAAUCGGAAUUACUGGGCGUAAAGCGUGCGCAGGCGGUCUUGCAAGACAGAUGUGAAAUCCCCGGGCUUAACCUGGGAACUGCAUUUGUGACUGCAAGGCUGGAGUGCGGCAGAGGGGGAUGGAAUUCCGCGUGUAGCAGUGAAAUGCGUAGAUAUGCGGAGGAACACCGAUGGCGAAGGCAAUCCCCUGGGCCUGCACUGACGCUCAUGCACGAAAGCGUGGGGAGCAAGCAGG
rnacentral:rRNA from 1 species